rnacentral:rRNA from 1 species
GUAGGUUGCAAGCGUUAAUCGGAAUUACUGGGCGUAAAGCGUGCGCAGGCGGUUUUGUAAGUCUGAUGUGAAAUCCCCGGGCUCAACCUGGGAACUGCAUUGGAGACUGCAAGGCUAGAAUCUGGCGGAGGGGGGUAGAAUUCCACGUGUAGCAGUGAAAUGCGUAGAUAUGUGGAGGAACACCGUUGGCGAAGGCAGCCCCCUGGGUCAAGAUUGACGCUCAUGCACGAAAGCGUGGGGAGCAAACAGGAUUAGAUACCCUGGUAGUCCACGCCCUAAGCGAUGUCUACUAGUUGUCGGGUCUUAAUUGACUUGGUAACGCAGCUAACGCGUGAAGUAGACCGCCUGGGGAGUACGGUCGCAAGAUUA